AUUGAACGCUGGCGGCAGGUCUAACACAUGCAAGUCGAACGGUAGCACAGAGAGCUUGCUCUCGGGUGACGAGUGGCGGACGGGUGAGUAAUGUCUGGGAAACUGCCCGAUGGAGGGGGAUAACUACUGGAAACGGUAGCUAAUACCGCAUAACGUCGCAAGACCAAAGUGGGGGACCUUCGGGCCUCACACCAUCGGAUGUGCCCAGAUGGGAUUAGCUAGUAGGUGGGGUAAUGGCUCACCUAGGCGACGAUCCCUAGCUGGUCUGAGAGGCUGACCAGCCACACUGGAACUGAGACACGGUCCAGACUCCUACGGGAGGCAGCAGUGGGGAAUAUUGCACAAUGGGCGCAAGCCUGAUGCAGCCAUGCCGCGUGUAUGAAGAAGGCCUUCGGGUUGUAAAGUACUUUCAGCGGGGAGGAAGGCGGUGGAGUUAAUAACUUCACCGAUUGACGUUACCCGCAGAAGAAGCACCGGCUAACUCCGUGCCAGCCGCCGCUGUAA
rnacentral:rRNA from 1 species